rnacentral:lncRNA from 1 species
GCUGAGAAUGCAAAAGGGAAAAACAGAUCUGGUCUCUUGUCUCCUUUUUCAUUCUCAGCAAAAGCCCAAAGGUGGAGGAAAAGGAGGAAGAGGAGGACAACCACUCAUUUACUAAAGAAAAUGGGCUUCCCCCCUCUCCCCUGGACCUGCUGCAGGAAAGAAGCAUGAAUGGAAAAAUAUAGACUGAGACUAGAAUCGUUGAACACAUAAUAGGUGUGGUGGAUAGGAAGCCAGGCUCGGGGAAGAAAGAUGGAUGAAGACAACACGUGCAGCCUGGCAGAAAGGGGCGUGUAUGCACACAGGAAUCACAAUGACCCCCAUGGGGACUAGGAAACAAAACUGGGCCAAAGCUUCCUACAAAGAAAAGCUUGUGAAGAGAGAUCCUCUUUCAGACCCCCAAUCAAAGGACGUUUUUCUGGACAAACAAAAUGGCUUACAACCAUUGUUGAUUGCUGCACUAGAAACUUUGACGGGACCAGUGGUAUGAUGCUAACACCUGGAAGGUUUCAGAAGAGGUUCGGGACCCUUCCUCCAAGAAUAUAUCCACGAUAACGUGGGAUGGAAGAAAUUAAUCAUCCACUGCUGGAGCCAGAAAAAAUGAGGAAUGGGUAGUGGAUAUUCAUUGUUCAUCACACCCUUGCCAGUAUUUGACCAGGAAUAGCCUGGUGACCAAAUCUGCAUAUAAGACUCCAGAGAGUCUCCUGAAGGCCUUUGGGAAAACACAGGAAGAAAUGGUCUCACUUCCUCAGGACAUUGUUUUGUCUGCAUGGCACUCUUGGGGUUGCCUCAGCCAUCCCUACCAGUCUGAGAAUGAAGACAACACUAAAGGUAACAGACUAGAGAGAUGGGACAAAACUCGGGCCCUAGGAGCAUGGUUGAACCACUGAGACAAACAAGCCUGAAGCCUCUGGACUUCUAGUUAUGGAAGUUAGUACCUCUCCUUAUUGUUUCAUCCUUGUGAGUUAGGAAGACAAAGGUUCAGAGGAGGAAUUCGCUGAGGAGUGAGGGGUACAUCCCCCCGCCACCAUGCAGCUGAUGGGGACCGUAAUGUUUGAGCUUAUGGAUGGGGAAGGGGGUGAGACUUAGGUAGAUUGGGUCCACCCAGCCCUUUGCUCCCUGACUAAGCAUACUUUGCAAACAGAGCAAAAC